UAAUACGGAGGGUGCAAGCGUUAUCCGGAUUUAUUGGGUUUAAAGGGUCCGUAGGCGGAUUAAUCAGUCAGUGGUGAAAUCUCAUAGCUUAACUAUGAAACUGCCAUUGAUACUGUUAGUCUUGAGUGAUGUUGAAGUUGCUGGAAUGUGUAGUGUAGCGGUGAAAUGCUUAGAUAUUACGCAGAACACCAAUUGCGAAGGCAGGUGACUAAACAUUAACUGACGCUGAUGGACGAAAGCGUGGGGAGCGAACAGG
rnacentral:rRNA from 1 species